AUUGAACGCUGGCGGCAUGCCUUACACAUGCAAGUCGAACGGCAGCGGACCUUCGGGUGCCGGCGAGUGGCGAACGGGUGAGUAAUAUAUCGGAACGUACCUUUCAGUGGGGGAUAACAUAGCGAAAGUUACGCUAAUACCGCAUAUUCUGUGAGCAGGAAAGCAGGGGAUCGCAAGACCUUGCGCUGAUUGAGCGGCCGAUAUCAGAUUAGCUAGUUGGUGAGGUAAAGGCUCACCAAGGCGACGAUCUGUAGCGGGUCUGAGAGGAUGAUCCGCCACACUGGAACUGAGACACGGUCCAGACUCCUACGGGAGGCAGCAGUGGGGAAUUUUGGACAAUGGGCGCAAGCCUGAUCCAGCCAUGCCGCGUGAGUGAAGAAGGCCUCGGUUGUAAG
rnacentral:rRNA from 1 species